rnacentral:rRNA from 1 species
GACGAACGCUGGCGGCGCGCCUAACACAUGCAAGUCGAACGAGAGAUGAGGAGCUUGCUCUUCAAAUCGAGUGGCGAACGGGUGAGUAACGCGUGAGGAACCUGCCUCAAAGAGGGGGACAACAGUUGGAAACGACUGCUAAUACCGCAUAAGCCCACGGCUCGGCAUCGAGCAGAGGGAAAAGGAGCAAUCCGCUUUGAGAUGGCCUCGCGUCCGAUUAGCUAGUUGGUGAGGUAACGGCCCACCAAGGCGACGAUCGGUAGCCGGACUGAGAGGUUGAACGGCCACAUUGGGACUGAGACACGGCCCAGACUCCUACGGGAGGCAGCAGUGGGGAAUAUUGCACAAUGGGGGAAACCCUGAUGCAGCGACGCCGCGUGGAGGAAGAAGGUCUUCGGAUUGUAAACUCCUGUUGUUGAGGAAGAUAAUGACGGUACUCAACAAGGAAGUGACGGCUAACUACGUGCCAGCAGCCGCGGUAAAACGUAGGUCACAAGCGUUGUCCGGAAUUACUGGGUGUAAAGGGAGCGCAGGCGGGAGAACAAGUUGGAAGUGAAAUCCAUGGGCUCAACCCAUGAACUGCUUUCAAAACUGUUUUUCUUGAGUAGUGCAGAGGUAGGCGGAAUUCCCGGUGUAGCGGUGGAAUGCGUAGAUAUCGGGAGGAACACCAGUGGCGAAGGCGGCCUACUGGGCACCAACUGACGCUGAGGCUCGAAAGUGUGGGUAGCAAACAGGAUUAGAUACCCUGGUAGUCCACACCGUAAACGAUGAUUACUAGGUGUUGGAGGAUUGACCCCUUCAGUGCCGCAGUUAACACAAUUAGUAAUCCACCUGGGGAGUACGACCGCAAGGUUGAAACUCAAAGGAAUUGACGGGGGCCCGCACAAGCAGUGGAGUAUGUGGUUUAAUUCGACGCAACGCGAAGAACCUUACCAAGUCUUGACAUCCCUUGACGAUGCUGGAAACAGUAUUUCUCUUCGGAGCAAGGAGACAGGUGGUGCAUGGUUGUCGUCAGCUCGUGUCGUGAGAUGUUGGGUUAAGUCCCGCAACGAGCGCAACCCUUAUGGUCAGUUACUACGCAAGAGGACUCUGGCCAGACUGCCGUUGACAAAACGGAGGAAGGUGGGGAUGACGUCAAAUCAUCAUGCCCUUUAUGACUUGGGCUACACACGUACUACAAUGGCGUUAAACAAAGAGAAGCAAGACCGCGAGGUGGAGCAAAACUCAGAAACAACGUCCCAGUUCGGACUGCAGGCUGCAACUCGCCUGCACGAAGUCGGAAUUGCUAGUAAUCGUGGAUCAGCAUGCCACGGUGAAUACGUUCCCGGGCCUU